UGAUGAGAUGAAUUUUGCCUGGAGCACGAAAUGAAAACUGUUAUUGUAGUUAGUGUGUCCCUCGCUAUCUUAUACUGUCAACAAGUCUGGUCAAAAGAGCAUGUUUCAACAGGGUACCAACAAACUCAUGAUCAGGAAACCUUUGUCAAUACUGUAGACACGAAACGGUCAUCUCCACCAAUCUGUUCUGCAGACGUGACAACUAGAGACUGCUUAAAGAAAAUACGGCUAUGGGUUAGAACCUUUCUUCGGAAAUCAGCGGAAUAUAGCCAACCGAGGAUAAUCAAUUUUGGAAGAGAAAUCACAAAGAACAUUCACAUUUAAACUAUUCAUAUUACAUUACAAUUUAAAAAAAUGGAUGACAGUCAAAUGUCUUUUAAUUUGUUUUAUGCCACGUAAAUAAAAAAAAGUACAGUUUUAAGACAAAGAUACUUCAUUUAUUCCAUUAAACUGAAAAGUUAUCGGCAUAGAA